UCCCGGUUAACCCGGGCAGUCUCACUAGAGUGCUCAACUUAAUGGUAGCAACUAAUGAUAAGGGUUGCGCUCGUUGCGGGACUUAACCCAACAUCUCACGACACGAGCUGACGACGGCCAUGCAACACCUGUCACUUGGCUCCCAAGGGCACAGUAUCCUUUCGGAUGCUUUCCAAGGAUGUCAAGCCUGGGUAAGGUUCUUCGCUUACCAUCGAAUUAAACAACACGCUCCACCGCUUGUGCGGGUCCCCGUCAAUUCCUUUAUGUUUUAGUCUUGCGACCGUACUCCACAGGCGGGAUGCUUAACGCGUUAGCUUCGCUACAAGAAGGGUCGAUACUUCUUACAGCUAGCAUCCAUAGUUUACGGCGUGGACUAC
rnacentral:misc_RNA from 1 species